rnacentral:rRNA from 1 species
UACAGAGGUCCCAAGCGUUGUUCGGAUUCAUUGGGCGUAAAGGGUGCGUAGGUGGCGCCGUAAGUCGGGUGUGAAAUUUCGGAGCUUAACUCCGAAACUGCAUUCGAUACUGCGGUGCUUGAGGACUGGAGAGGAGACUGGAAUUCAUGGUGUAGCAGUGAAAUGCGUAGAGAUCAUGAGGAAGACCAGUGGCGAAGGCGGGUCUCUGGGACGUUACUGACGCUGAGACGCGAAAGCGUGGGGAGCAAACAGG